UCGUAGGUGACCUGCGGAAGGAUCAUUAUUGAAAUCGUUCGUCGAAGGCUGUUGCUGGUCCUCGAGAGGGGGCAGAUUUGUGCACGCCUUUUUCGUUCGCUUCUCCCCCACAACACACCCUGUGCAUCUUUUGUAGGUCAAGAGAUUGAACCUAUGCUUUUUAUUUAUUUAUUCACACCUGUCUAUUAUCUGAAUGUCGAUAUAUUUUAAUACAACUUUCAACAACGGAUCUCUUGGCUCUCGCAUCGAUGAAGAACGCAGCGAAAUGCGAUAAGUAAUGUGAAUUGCAGAAUUCAGUGAAUCAUCGAAUCUUUGAACGCACCUUGCGCUCCUUGGAAUUCUGAGGAGCAUGCCUGUUUGAGUGUCGUGAAACCUUCAAAACCUCUGUUUCUCUCUCCCUCUCUUUCGAGCGGAGAGGGAAUGGAGCGCUUGGAUUGUGGGGGGUUUGUGCUGAAAGGGUGAAACUCUGUCAGCUCCUCUAAAAUGCAUUAAGCCUUUUGCCUCACGCAGAUGAAUAAGAGCUUGUUGGUUUGAUAAUCUCUUUGUCUACGCCCACUUGCCAGUCUGCGUGCAGGUACGAUGGCUCUCGCACCCAAAAAAAUGCCCAUCUUUUUUUUGACCUCAAAUCAGGUAGGAUUACCCGCUGAACUUAAGCAUAUCAAUAAGCGGAGGAAAAGAAACUAACAAGGAUUCCCUUAGUAACUGCGAGUGAAGCGGGAAAAGCUCAAAUUUGAAAUCUGACGGUCCUCUUUUGGCCGUCCGAGUUGUAAUCUAGAGAAGUGCCUUCCGCGCUGGACCGUGUACAAGUCU
rnacentral:rRNA from 1 species